AAAACUGCAAUCUAAUUAUGUCCUAAUAAUGAGUAUGUUGAAUUGAUUACAUUUGUUGUUCUUUUCCUAAUACUCGAUGCAAUACGAAACUUACAGUGACUGAAAGCUCGACACAUUCACUUCUCUAGUGGCUAACCAUUAUCUGGGCCUUGGCCUUAUUUGAAUAACAUCUUUUUACAUUUCAUACUACGACAUCAUCUUUCUUUAUGCACUACCUACCUUGGAUAAAAUUCAGUAGCUGACAAAAAGGGUGGUGCAACGUUCAUGAGUUGAUCCCACUGCAACUCAUUUGUCAAUUUAUUCUGCUCGCUUCCACCAUCAAAGAGAAAUCCUGGCCGUUUAGGCAAUGGUCGAGUAACAGAGUGACUGCUAAGCAUAAGAACAAUUGUUGCCAUUGCAGGUCUAUGAGCUGGAUCUUGCUGGAUACAUAGUAAGCCUAUAUGAAUACAUUUUGUUACUUCAUUUAUUGAACAAGAACCUCUCAGAGUUGGAUCCAACACUUCACAUGCCACCCCAAGACUCCAUUUGUUCCAAACAUAGCUCACGAGGUCGCCAGGGAAUGAACUUCUCUUCUUUCCAGUUACUAUCUCAAAAAUUAAGAUACCAAAACUAUAUGCAUCAGACUUUGUCGAGAACUGUCCAUGCAUUAUGUAUUCUGGAGACAUGUAACCAUAUGUCCCAAUGAUUCUGUUUGUGUUUGCAUGAGUUUGAUCAACUCCAAAAAUCCUUGCCUGCCCAAAAUCUGAAAUUUUAGGAUUCAUAUCGACAUCUAGCAAAAUAUUGCUUGCUUUCAUAUCACGAUGAAUUAUUCGAAGUCGAGAAUCCUCGUGAAGGUAAAGAAGUCCUCUAGCAAUACCUCCAAUAAUCUUGUAACGCAUCUCCCAAUCCAAAUGUGACCGCUUGAUUGGAUCAAAUAUGAAAUGAUCAAGG
rnacentral:misc_RNA from 1 species